rnacentral:lncRNA from 1 species
AAAAACUUUUAAAGGAUUUUGGGAUAUUUUAAUAAAAGGAUAUAAGUUUUACUGAAGUUUUUGAUUGCUUUUUUUCUAUUAGAAAAACCCAAACUACUGAAAGGUAAAUUUCACCAUCAGUAAAUGACAACUAUCUGACCUUCUAAAACAAAACUACUGCUGUGAUAAGCGAAUUGGGAGAACUCCUGUUUUUUCCAUAUAAAAUUCCAGUCUGUACAGAUCUCACUGAAGUCUAACCCAGCCUCUGCUUCAAGUCUACGCUGCUGUAUUCUUUGAUGGGGUGGAGUGGCUCCCAUGCUGGUCUGUAUGGGGAAGUGGUGAGAUGGGCUCUUCUGAACGUGACUACACACAAGGUGACAAGUGUCGUGGGUAAAAGAAAAACAGCUGGAGAAGAAAGAUCAUAAAUUUUGGUAGUUGAAGACAUGCCAUUUAAACAAGGAGCAAAGGUGAGCCUCACUCAGAUGGCAGAGUUUGCAUCAAGUCUCAAAGGCAGUGAGUGAGAUAGCCAUGUGCGUAUUUUAGGAAGAUCACUAAGGCAGAGGGCAUAUGCAGAGCAAAGGAGAGGGCACGACUCACAUGUGUGGGGAAAGAGGCCAGGGUGGCUGGAGUGGAAUGAUUAUGGCAGACAGAGGAGUAAGG